rnacentral:rRNA from 1 species
AUUGAACGCUAGCGGGAUGCCUUACACAUGCAAGUCGAACGGCGUGGCGAACGGGUGAGUACUGUAUCGGAACGUGCCCAGUAGCGGGGGAUCCAUACGCGAAAGCGUAGCCAAUACCGCAUACUUUUGGAGCGGCCGCUAUCGGAUUGGCUAGAUGGUGGGGUAACGGCUCACCAAGGCGACGAUCCGUAGCUGGUCUGAGAGGACGACCAGCCACACUGGGACUGAGACACGGCCCAGACUCCUACGGGAGGCAGCAGUGGGGAAUUUUUGACAAUGGGGGAAAGCCUGAUCCAGCCAUCCCGCGUGUGCGAUGAAGGUCUUCGGAUUGUAAAGCACUGUUGGCAGGGAAGCGGUACCUGCAUAAUAAGCACCGGCUAACUACGUGCCAGCAGCCGCGGUAAUAC